rnacentral:rRNA from 1 species
UGGGGGAUUUUGCACAAUGGGCGCAAGCCUGAUGCAGCGACGCCGCGUGAGGGAUGAAGGCCUUCGGGUUGUAAACCUCUUUCGCUGGGUUGAAAGGCCAUGCUUUGGGUGUGGUUGAUUUGAACUGGUAAAGAAGUACCGGCUAACUACGUGCCAGCAGCCGCGGUAAUACGUAGGGUACUAGCGUUGUCCGGAUUUAUUGGGCGUAAAGGGCUUGUAGGUGGUUUGUCGCGUCUGUCGUGAAAUCCUGUGGCUUAACCAUGGGCUUGCGGUGGGUACGGGCAGGCUUGAGUGCGGUAGGGGAGACUGGAAUUCCUGGUGUAGCGGUGGAAUGCGCAGAUAUCAGGAGGAACACCGGUGGAGAAGGCGGGUCUCUGGGCCGUUACUGACACUGAGGAGAGAAAGCGUGGGGAGCGAACAGG